UUGAAUAAGUUUAUGUCCAGAAUAUUCCCUUAGUCAGCGUUGGGUCCCCCAAGUGGAUUCACAACUUAGAGGAUCUGACAGAGGGUACAGAACUUCUACGCUUUCCAAUCUAUCAUUUUAGAGAUCACGGACCUUUCUGCAGAACAAGGUCGGGCUAUACAUAUCUGGCAGUAGUGUCUAGGAAAUUGAGAUCAAUCAGCAAUAGAUAACAGCGAAGUGAUUAUUUCAGAUGGCAAGUGUUUUAAAACAUCAACGCAAUUUACAUGUCACAACAAUUUGGGGGCAGCCUGCCGCUUUAGUACAUCUGUGACCUAAGCCAAUUCCUUGAAUUACGGGGGAGAAAAUAACGUCGAUCAAACGGCUACAUAUCCUGAGGAGUGUUUCAUCACACUGAAUGGAUUCUUUCGACUAAGAGACGAAAAAUUUGGAAGCUUUGAACGUCUGUUUAUUACACUUGACAACACUUCAGCUUUAAAAGGUCAAGCUGAAAUUCACCAGGUGCCUAAGUAUCAGGGGUCUACUGAAAGCCAAGAUCAGUUGAUUAGCCAGUUGGAAUCAGGUGUAGCUUGUGCUUGGUUCUAUUGAAAACCUGCACCCACACCGGCCCUUUCUGGAUAAGAUUGGACACCCCUGGUCUAAACCGUUGGCAACAAAAGUGAGUACACCACUAUGUGUAAAUGUCCAAAUUGGGCCCAAUUAGCCAUUUACCCUCCCCAGUGUCAUGUGACUCAUUAGUGUUACAAGGUCUCAGGUGUGAAUGGGGAGCAGGUGUGUUAAAUUUCGUGUUAUCGCUCACACACUCUCUCAUACUGGUCACUGGAAGUUCAACAUGGCACCUCAUGGCAAAGAACUCUCUGAGGAUCUGAAAAAAAGAAUUAUUGCUCUACAUAAAGAUGGCCUAGGCUAUAAGAAGUUUGCCAAGACCCUGAAACUGAGCUGCAGCAUGGUGGGCAAGACCAUACAGUGGUUUCACAGGACAGGUUCUACUCAGAACAGGCCUCACCAUGGUCCACCAAAGAAGCUGAGUGCACGUGCUCAGCAUCAUAUCCGGAGGUUGUCUUUGGGAAAUAGACGUAUGAGUGCUGCCAGCAUUGCUGCAGAGGUUGAAGGGGUGGGGGGUCAGCCUGUCAGUGCUCAGACCAUACGCUGCACACUGUAUCAAACUGGUCUGCAUGGCUGUCGUCCCAGAAGGAAGCCUCUACUAAAGAUGAAGCACAAGAAAGCCCGCAUACAGUUUGCUGAAGACAAGCAGACUAAGGACAUAACGACCCCAAACACACCUCCAAGACGACCACUGCCUUGCUAAAGAAGCUGAGGGUAAAGGUGAUGGACUGUCCAAGCAUGUCUCCAGACCUAAACCCUAUUGAGCAUCUGUGGGGCAUCCUCAAAUGGAAGGUGGGGGAGCACAAGGUCUCUAACAUCCACCAGCUCUGUGAUGUCAUCAUGGAGGACUGGAAGAGCACUCCAGUGGCAACCUGUGGAGCUCUGGUGAACUCCAUGCCCAAGAGGGUUAAGGCAGUGCUGGAAAAUAAUGGUGGCCACACAAAACAUUGACACUUCGGGCCCAAUUUGGACAUUUCCACUUAGGAGUGUAGUCACUUUUGUUUAGACAUUAAUGGCUGUGUGUUGAGUUCUUUUGAGGGGUCAGCAAAUUUACACUGUUAUACAGGCUGUACACUUUACUUUACUUUACAUUGUAGCAGAGUGUCAUUUCUUUCUGGAUGCAUGCACAGUGUGUGGGAAUGGACACUUUGCAGCUUCAAACAGCCAGAAAAAAAAUAUGGAAAUACUGCUUGUGUGUUUAAGAAGACUAUUGUGUAAUAACAAUAAAAAACGGUGUGUAAUCGUGAUAAGAAAUGACUUGUUUAUUUAAAGAAGAGAGGAGUUAAACAAAUGAAGAAAAUAAACAAAUGAAUAAAAAUCAAUGAAGACAUUUUUUGGGAUAAGAAGAGGUGUACCUUGUGGAGGUGUCCAAGUAGAUUAUUUUAGUACUAGAUUUGGGUCACAUGACCUAGAAGCUAUUGAAGAAAUAGUAGGGUUUUUUUUAAAUAAAAAUUAAGAUAAAAAUAAAAGAAGAGAUUUUUUGGGAUACAAAGAGGUGUACCUUGUGGAGGUGUCCAACUAGAUUAUUUUGGUACUAGUUUAGGGUCACAGGGUAACAUGACUGUUACGUGCCACGACACGUAUUUCGGUUAUUAUGAUGGCUUUGUUUACAGCGUAACCUAUUGGGAGGAACGUGAUGCAGUUGGCCGCAUGCCAUAUACCUGCCGCUGACGGGAGGAGCCGAGUCGCGCUAUCGCCACCCCGGAAGAUUAACUGGAAGAAGAGUCAGGCUAUAAAAGCGAAACACUGACACCGCAUUGGGCGCGUUUUGUUUCUGCUUGUGUGUGCAAUCGCGUGGUUUGUUUGUCUAUCUAAGUACUUGGUGUAUUGAGGUGUAUGUACAGCUGUGUGUGUUUGUGUAGUGUUGUGCUGACGGGGCUCGGACAGGUAAGAAAGAGCGCGCUCAUACACUGUGCAACACGUAGGACGUCACACUGUCUAGACACCUUAGGAAAGGGGCGGGUGCCACCCCCUGUAUUUAAGUUUGUAAGGGAAGCGCAGUAUAGGCAGGUUUUUGGUUUCACUUUUGUUUGUAGUCCAGGAUGUAUUAAAAAUAAAGCAGCGUUAGGGAAGUAUCUUUUUUUUUUCAGCACCGCCGUUGUCCAGCCCCGUGUUUGGCUUGUUUGUGAAAUUUGUAAACAUUGUAAAUACGUAUGUUUUCUGUUGUACAGCACAGUAAACUAAUUAAGCACUACAGGUUGUGUCGCGAAAGCUUGUUUUUUUUUUCAUUCAGCCAGUUUACACUGUGUGUCAUUGUUUAGACCCGGUUGGACUCUUUCACCCACUGUCAGCUUGAUAAACCGCCGGUUGCUGACCCUGAGUCUCCCCUAGGCCUACUUCGGGGUCGUAACAAUGACCUAGAAGCUAUUGAAGAAAUAGCAGUUUUUUUUUAAUUAAAAUAAAAAUAAAAGAAGAGAUUUUUUGGGAUACAAAGAGGUGUACCUUGUGGAGGUGUCCAAAUAGAUUAUUUUAGUACUAGUUUUGGGUCACAGGCUCACAUGACCUAGAAGCUAUUGAAGAAAAAGUAGUUUUUUUUAAUAAAAAUUAAAAUUUAAAAAAAGAAGAGAUUUUUUGGGAUACAACGAGGUGUAUCUUGUGGAGGUGUCCAAGUAGAUUAUUUUACUACUAAAUUUGGGUCACAGGGUCACAUGACCUAGAAGCUAUUGAAGAAAAAGUAGUUUUUUUUAAUAAAAAUUAAAAUUUAAAAAAAGAAGAGAUUUUUUGGGAUACAACGAGGUGUAUCUUGUGGAGGUGUCCAAGUAGAUUAUUUUACUACUAGAUUUGGGUCACAGGGUCACAUGACCUAGAAGCUAUUGAAGAAAUAGUAGUUUUUUUAAAAAUUAAAAUAAAAACAAAAGAAGAGAUUUUUUGGGAUACAAAGAGGUGUACCGUGUGGAGGUGUCCAAUUACUAGUUUGGGGUCACAGGGUCACAUGACCUAGAAGCUAUUGAAGGAAUAGUUAUUUUUUUUCAGUCGUACGGAAAUUUGUCGACGGUCCCUAAACUUCCGCUACCGAAUGUCUGUCUAAUGUCUGAAUAUCAAGCUAACUUCACUGCGGUGCGAUGCCGGAGAGAGCGUGGACAUCCCGCUAGACCUCUGUUUAAAUGCAGGUUUCCUCAGCGACGGGUUAACGGCAACGUCUCUAACCAGGAAGUGAGACCUGAACAGUUCUGACGGCCGCCUCUCUGCCAGCGCCGUGACGGAGGAUUCUUGCGCCUCGCUGGAAUAAUGAGCGAUUUGAUUUGCGACCUAAUUCGCGACUACACCGCCACGUUUUCUAACGUGUGUGAAAAGGUUUUGAGUGAAAUGUUUUGAAUGUAUGUUCGCGUCGGUAUAUAUUUUUUGACAUUGUGAAUGCCGGGUUAUAGAUAGGGGGUAUAAUAAAAGUGUGCAAGAAAAACAAAAAAUCAUUUAACCCUGAGUUGUGACAUUUUAUUUAGCCCCCUCGUUAAAAGGAUACAAAAUAAGCAAAAAAAACCUAUAAACACUAUAAAAUAUAUAAACGCUAUAAAACAUAAAAUAAAUACAUAUAUCAUUAAAAAAAUAAAAAAUGGAUGAGACAUUAGAGAAGGCCUUCGCCGAAUUAAGGUUAAGCGUAGAAGAGCUAAGGCUUAUCCUGCCCUCCUUUCGCAUAGACGUACGGCAGGAGGUAUACGAUAAUGCCGCUGUGAUUCAACAAGAUCCUCUACAGGCGAUAGAAAAUGCAAUCCUCGGUUUAAAUAGAUCUGAUAAUCCGUUCCUGGAAAUCGAAGCUGCUAUUUGUUCUAUAAACACAGAAGCGGGAGAGAGAGAGACGUAUGGUGAGGAGGGGGUAGAAGGAGGUGCAGCAGAUGAGGGGGAGGAA